AUUGAACGCUGGCGGCACGCCUAACACAUGCAAGUCGAGCGGCAGCGAGACUAGUAGCAAUACUAGUUGUCGGCGAGCGGCGGACGGGUAAGUAACACGUAGGAAUCUGCCCUUAAGCGGGGGAUAACCAAGGGAAACUUUGGCUAAUACCGCAUAAUCUCGAGAGAGCAAAGCUGCCCGCAAGGGUGGCACUUGAGGAGGAGCCUGCGUCCGAUUAGCGAGUUGGUGGGGUAAUGGCCUACCAAGGCGAUGAUCGGUAACUGGUCUGAGAGGACGACCAGUCACACUGGGACUGAGACACGGCCCAGACUCCUACGGGAGGCAGCAGUGGGGAAUAUUGGACAAUGGGGGCAACCCUGAUCCAGCGAUGCCGCGUGAGUGAAGAAGGCCUUCGGGUCGUAAAGCUCUUUAGGUUGGGAAGAAGGGUAUUGGCUGAAUAAUCCAGUACUUUGACGGUACCGACAGAAUAAGCACCGGCAAACUCUGUGCCAGCAGCCGCCGUAAAAC
rnacentral:rRNA from 1 species